rnacentral:rRNA from 1 species
GACGAACGCUGGCGGCGUGCUUAACACAUGCAAGUCGAGCGGUAAGGCCCUUUCGGGGGUACACGAGCGGCGAACGGGUGAGUAACACGUGGGUGACCUGCCCUCAGCUCUGGGAUAAGCCUGGGAAACUGGGUCUAAUACUGGAUAUGACUCCACGGUGCAUGUCGUGGGGUGGAAAGCCUUGUGCGGCUGAGGAUGGGCCCGCGGCCUAUCAGCUUGUUGGUGGGGUGANGGCCUACCAAGGCGACGACGGGUAGCCGGCCUGAGAGGGCGACCGGCCACACUGGGACUGAGACACGGCCCAGACUCCUACGGGAGGCAGCAGUGGGGAAUCUUGCGCAAUGGGCGAAGGCCUGACGCAGCGACGCCGCGUGAGGGAUGACGGCCUCGG